GACGAACGCUGGCGGCAUGCUUAACACAUGCAAGUCGAACGGUAAGGCCCUUCGGGGUACACGAGUGGCGAACGGGUGAGUAACACGUGGGUGAUCUGCCCUGCACUUCGGGAUAAGCCUGGGAAACUGGGUCUAAUACCGGAUAGGACCACUGCCUGCAUGGGUGGUGGUGGAAAGCUUUUGCGGUGUGGGAUGGGCCCGCGGCCUAUCAGCUUGUGGGUGGGGUGAUGGCCUACCAAGGCGACGAGGGGUAGCCGGCCUGAGAGGGUGACCGGCCACACUGGGACUGAGAUACGGCCCAGACUCCUACGGGAGGCAGCAGUGGGGAAUAUUGCACAAUGGGCGCAAGCCUGAUGCAGCGACGCCGCGUGAGGGAUGACGGCCUUCGGGUUGUAAACCUCUUUCAGCACCGACGAAGCGCAAGUGACGGUAGGUGCAGAAGAAGGACCGGCCAACUACGUGCCAGCCGCCGCUGUAA
rnacentral:rRNA from 1 species